rnacentral:rRNA from 1 species
CCUACGGGAGGCAGCAGUGGGGAAUAUUGCGCAAUGGGCGAAAGCCUGACGCAGCGACGCCGCGUGAGGGAUGAAGGUCUUCGGAUCGUAAACCUCUGUCAGCAGGGAAGAACGGUCACUGUGCUAAUCAGCAGUGAAUUGACGGUACCUGCAAAGGAAGCACCGGCUAACUCCGUGCCAGCAGCCGCGGUAAUACGGAGGGUGCGAGCGUUAAUCGGAAUUACUGGGCGUAAAGCGCUCGUAGGCGGUAUGUCAAGUCAAGGGUGAAAUCCCCGCGCUCAACGUGGGAACUGCCUUUGAAACUGGCAAACUGGAGUGUGUGAGAGGAUAGUGGAAUUCUAGGUGUAGGAGUGAAAUCCGUAGAUAUCUGGAGGAACAUCAGUGGCGAAGGCGACUAUCUGGAACAUAACUGACGCUGAGGAGCGAAAGCGUGGGUAGCAAACAGGAUUAGAUACCCUAGUAGUC